GUCCAUUUGGCUUUUGUACAUCCCAUGGGAAGGCACCAUCCUGUCCUUUUCCUCAGGCAGCAAAAUGUAUUGGGCCAGCUCUGCCUGCUGUGGAAGGGGCAUCUCUUUAGGACUGGUCUGGAUAGGGUUAGUGAAUGGAAGAACAAGGGCAGAGCCAGGUGUGUCCAGCUUCAAGCCAAACAACCCACAUGGCAGGACCUGGUAGUGGACGGGAGAGGAGAACUUAUUCCUUGUGAUACAUUCCAGGCUACACAUCAGGGCUGGGGGACCAGUGGCCCUCCAGAUGUUGUUGGAUUCCAACUCUCAUCAGCCCCAGCCAGUAAGGCAAAUGGUCAGGGAAGAUGGGAGUAACACCUGUAGGUUCUCCAUCCUUCCUUAGCUUAAGGUUCUGACCUGGAUGUCAACUAGCAAUCUCUUGCCAGCAUCACCCCCAGUUCCUCUGGUUUCUGUUGGACAGCCUUCUUUGCUAUAGCCUGGCUAACAAGGCCAAGAAAGAAUCUUGCCAAGUGGCAAAAAUGUGUAUAUUAGGAAACAUUUAAUACAACCACGUGUAUGUUGGGAGAAAUUUGCACUAAAAUUCUGAUUUGUUUUCAUCAGCACUUAAAAAACAAAAAAUAUCUCAAACUGCUGUGGCUAUGUGGAGAAUAGAACUUGAGAUUGGGAAAACGAGAAAUAUGGAGAAACUGAAAUUGAGAGAUUUGCCCAUCCCUGAUGGCCAGGGGAGAUGGAAGCUAUACUCUGGCAUCCAUUUGAAGGGCACCACGUUGGUUACCACUGAUCUCCAUCAUCACAGCAAGCGUUGUCUUAGGUCCUGCACCUAGACAGAUAAACAGAAGGCAAUGGAUGGUGUAUUGUACCCUGAAAAUCACACUGAACCAGAAUAAUUUUGCUGCCUAUCCUUCCAUCCCUUUUGAUAGGAUUUAUGGUCAGGCAAAUGGAAAUAGCUCCUUUGCAUGGAGUCCAGUUGGAAAUAAAUCUCCCCAGCUCUUCCACCCGCCACCCAGUAUUAUAUGCCUGUAAGUAUUCAGAUCAGAGCGAUUUAUGGCACAGGGCUAAUUCGUACUGGGCAGCCUCAGCUCUGUCUGUCAUUAGUUCUAAUGGACCAUGAGCUUGGAAUUGGGAACUGGUGUAUCCAGAUAAAGAAGUAAAUUUGGCCGGUAUUGUGCAGGACCUGUUGAUAAGCAAAGAUGCUCAGCCCUUAUGGAAAAGGUUAUUUUACCAUUCUUCCCUGUCUAGUCAUGGGGGUAGUAACUGUUAAUUGGGCAAGCCAGAAAUGUCAAGGGAUUUGCAAGUGGAAGAGGUGAGGGGGAAAGAAAGAAAGAAAAAGUAUCUCUUAAUAACAGGGAGCUAAUUAACCGAGCAGGGAAAUAAUCUGGUGUGAAUUAUAAUUUAUUCAAUGAGUUUUGCUCCCUUUUAUCUGUCCAUGGAUUGUUUGCAAACAGAUGGUGACUUUCUAGGAUCCAUUCAUUAUUAACAAUUACUUGACCCCUUAAUUUCUGUGAAUAAUUAUCAGUCAGAGGCUCAUUUGCAAAAUGGUUUGCUUGCGGUUUCAGCUGUUAAAAGGGGGGGGGAGAUUCAGAGUCAAAUUUUCAAAUCUGUGAGGUUGGGUGUUUUUUCCUCCCCCCCUUUUUUUGUCACCCUCGUAAUUCUUUGUUAUAAAACUGUAACCCGGAGCCAACAUAAGACACCACGGAUUGAUAUAUUUAAUUUUGUUAAUAAAAGUAUGUACAUACUCAGCCCCUGCCCUGCCCUGCCGAGUUAGCAGCAGUAUGCUUGUGAACGCCAAUUGCUGGAAACUGCAGGAGGGCAGCUGUGCCUGGGUCCUGCUUUAAGGCUUCCCACGGGCAUCCGCUUGGCCUCUGUGAGAACACAAUGCUGGACUAGAUGGGUCAUUGGACUCUUCUUAUGUUAUUGCAUUUUCAUAAAAUACAGUGGUACCUCGGGAUGUGAACGGGAUCCGUUCCGGAGCCCCGUUCACAUCCUGAACAGAACAUAAGAUGCGAUGGAGCGUCUGCGCGUGCGUGGGUCAUGUUUUGCCGCUUCCGCGCAUGCGCGUGAAGUCAUUUUGAGCGUCUGCACAUGUGCAAGCGGCGAAACCCGGAAGUAACGUGCUCCGUUACUUCUGGGUUGCCGCAGAGCGCAACCCGAAAGCGCUCAACCUGAAGCACAUUCAACCCGAGGUAUGACUGUAUCAGGGUGGUGCUCAGUAAUAUAAAAUAACAUUAAAAAACACAGAUCAGUAUAAGGACAGCCUACUCAAGAAAAUUCUAAAGAACUACAUAGGCCUGUUGACAUCAAAGAGUCUUCAAGAGCUCCUUGAAGUCAAAAGCAAGGACUCCUGCCACAUCUCUGAUAGAAGAGCAUUCAGCUGAAUGACCAUCUUCUAGUUCAGGCCACUUGGGCUUCUGUAACAUGGAGGACAACAUCCUCCAGAUGGUCUCGGAUAUAAGGACUCAGGAGGUCCUUAAGGUUUCCUGGGCCCAGUUGGUUCAGGGCUUUGUAUACCACCAGAAGCAGCUUGAACCUGUCCCAGCAGCAUGUGAAUAGACCGUGUAGAUGUUUUAAUGCUAGAAAAAUGCAACCUGUGCUGCUGAUAGCAGUGCGACUCAUGCAGCACGUUGGCAAUUAAUAUACACAGGACAAUAAUUAUACAUGCUUUAUCAACCUUCUGAGAAAAAUACAAAACAUUAAACAAAGCCACAAAGACUUGAGAACUACCCAGUCUGAAAUGAACUUAUAAUGUCUGGUUUCAAUAGAUUUUUCAAGUGCUUAACUCAGUCUUUUGGAUAAGUUCAUGAAGAUACCAACAAAAGGUAAGUUCGGUGAUAUUCACAGUACUGAGAGGUGCUAGUAGGAUUGUACAUAAAGGUAAAGGGGACCCCUGACCAUUAGGUCCAGUUGUGACCGACUCUGGGGUUGCGGCGCUCAUCUGGCUUUAUUGGCCAAGGGAGCUGGCUUACAGCUUCAGGGUCAUGUGGCCAGCAUGACUAAGCCGCUUCUGGCAAACCAGAGCAGUGCACGGAAAUGCCGUUUACCUUCCCCCUGGAGUAGUACCUAUUUAUCUACUUGCACUUUGACGUGCUUUCGAACUGCUAGGUUGGCAGGAGCAGGGACCGAGCAACGGGAGCUCACCCCAUCACAGGGAUUUGAACCACCGACCUUCUGAUCGGCAAGUCCUAGGCUCUGUGGUUUAACCCACAGCGCCACCCGCAUCCUUGUAGUAGGAUUGUACAUAGAUGUUAAUAAAGUUGUAGACAAUGAAGUUGUAGACGACAGGGUGCCGGUGUUUUGCACCUGUUUCGUCCUGGCAGUCCAAGUAAUCAAAAGGCCAGUGUUCGCCCCCGAUGGGGCCCUCUAACUGGGGCUUGCAGGUAGCACACUCCCAAGGUAGUUUUAGCAGAGGUGUCACAUGCUGUUGGCCAUCUGCCCCCACCAGCAGUUUAGCUGCUGCAUUUUGCACUUGCUGAAGCUUCCAGACGAGGCCUAAGAACAUCCCCACAUAGAGCACAUUGCAGCAAUCCAGAUUUGAGGUUACUAAUACAUAGACUACAGUGGCAAAGUUCUCCCCUUCCAGAUAUGUGCGUAGCUGGUGUACAGUGGUACCUUGGUUCUCAAACUCAAUCCGUUCCGGAAGUUCCUUCCAAAACCAAAGUGUUCCAAAAGCAAGGCGUGCUUUCCCAUAGAAAGUAAGGCAAAAUGGAUUAAUCCGAUCCAAAUUUUUAAAAACAACGCCUGAAACAGCAAUUUAAUAUGAAUUUUACUAUCUAAGAAGACCGUUGGUCCAUAAAAUGAAAGUAAUAAACAAUGUACUGCAGUCACACAAUCGAUCCACCAGUAGCUGAACUGGGUUCCACACAGUCACACAAAAAACAACAACAAAAAGAGCUGCAAAAACAAAAACGCAAAAUAAAUAGCAAAAACAGACAGGCCUCAGCGUAACACUCAAAACGGGAGUGUGGCACUCAAAUCGGAAGCAUAACACUCAAAACGGAGCAUGUUCGGCUUCCGAAAAAGGUUCACAAACCGGAACACUUACUUCUGGGUUUGGAGUGUUUGGGUUCCAAUUUGUUUGAGUACUAAGUCAUCUGAGAACCAAGGUACCACUGUACUACACAAGGCUGGUAAAAGGAUUUUUUUUUUUUUUUGCCACAGAUGUCAUGUGGGCCUCUAAUGACAAAGAUGUACCCAGGAGUACACCAAAGCUAUAUACCUGUUGCUUAGGAGGGAGUGCAACCCCACCCAGAACAGAGAGCUGGCCUAUCUUCCAGAGAUGGAAGCCACCUACCCACAAUGCCUUCAUCUUCCCAGAAUCCAAAUCCAGUUUCUUGGACCUCAUUCAGUCCUUCACUGCAUUAAGACAUUGAUCCAGGACUUGUGUGUGUGAAGAAGUUUUGAGCCAGUUGCUGCAGCUCAUACCGCAUGGCUCUUACAAGCCAUUCUUCAGUUCCUAGACCAAUAAUUUAGGAACAUUCACCACUGUAACUAAACAAAGUUUUGCCACCUGCACAACUUUUUCUGAAUGCUGUGUGGGAAAAGUAUAUGAAUCUGACUUUUGGUGAGUUUGUAAGUAAACCAUUUUAAAUUUACCAAACGUGGUCUUUUUCUACAGGAGAGGAAGAGGGGAACUUUGGAAGGAACAUAUAAAGAUAAUAAAUAAA